AGAGUUUGAUCCUGGCUCAGGAUAAACGCUGGCGGCGUGCAUGAGACAUGCAAGUCGAACGGACGAGUGGGCUUGCUCACUCGUUAGUGGCGGACGGCUGAGUAACGCGUAGGUGACCUGCCCCGAAGUGGGGAAUAACUGCCCGAAAGGGUGGCUAAUACCGCGUGUGGUGCCACGUUCAUUCGUGUCUCCAAAGCCGCAAGGCGCUUCGGGAGGGGCCUGCGUCCGAUUAGCUCGUUGGUGGGGUAACGGCUCACCAAGGCGACGAUCGGUAGGUGGUCUGAGAGGACGAUCACCCAGACUGGGACUGAGACACGGCCCAGACUCCUACGGGAGGCAGCAGUCGGGAAUUUUGGGCAAUGGGCGAAAGCCUGACCCAGCAACGCCGCGUGAGGGAUGAAGGCCUUCGGGUCGUAAACCUCUUUUCUCAGGGACGAUGAUGACGGUACCUGAGGAAUAAGCCACGGCUAACUACGUGCCAGCAGCCGCGGUAAUACGUAGGUGGCGAGCGUUGUCCGGAUUUACUGGGCGUAAAGAGCGCGCAGGCGGUCGGAUUAGUCGAAUGUGAAAGCCCCCGGCUCAACUGGGGAGGGUCAUUCGAUACUGUUCGACUCGAAGGCAGGAGAGGGAAGUGGAAUUCCCGGUGUAGUGGUGAAAUGCGUAGAUAUCGGGAGGAACACCAGUGGCGAAGGCGACUUCCUGGCCUGUUCUUGACGCUGAGGCGCGAAAGCUAGGGGAGCAAACGGGAUUAGAUACCCCGGUAGUCCUAGCCGUAAACGAUGGACACUAGGUGUUGGCGGUAUCAACCCCGCCAGUGCCGUAGCUAACGCAUUAAGUGUCCCGCCUGGGGAGUACGGCCGCAAGGCUAAAACUCAAAGGAAUUGACGGGGGCCCGCACAAGCAGCGGAGCGUGGGGUUUAAUUCGACGCAACGCGAAGAACCUUACCAGGACUUGACAUGGCCGAGAUCGUGGCGGAAACGUCGCUUCCCCGCAAGGGGCUUGGUCACAGGUGUUGCAUGGCUGCCGUCAGCUCGUGUCGUGAGAUGUUGGGUUAAGUCCCGCAACGAGCGCAACCCU
rnacentral:rRNA from 1 species